rnacentral:tRNA from 1 species
GGAUUGUGGCUCAGCGGUAGAGCACUAGCCUAGUAUGUUCGAGGCCCUGGGUUCAAUCCUCAGCACCA